rnacentral:tRNA from 1 species
AGCCUUGAAGUUUUAAUACGUCAGAUUGCAAAUCUGAAGACGCAGGUUGACGUCCUGCCGGGGCUU